GACGAACGCUGGCGGUGUGCUUAACACAUGCAAGUCGAACGGAAAGGCCCUGCUUUUGUGGGGUGCUCGAGUGGCGAACGGGUGAGUAACACGUGAGUAACCUGCCCUUGACUUUGGGAUAACUUCAGGAAACUGGGGCUAAUACCGGAUAGGAGCUCCUGCUGCAUGGUGGGGGUUGGAAAGUUUCGGCGGUUGGGGAUGGACUCGCGGCUUAUCAGCUUGUUGGUGGGGUAGUGGCUUACCAAGGCUUUGACGGGUAGCCGGCCUGAGAGGGUGACCGGCCAACUUGGGACUGGGAUACGGCCCAGACUCCUACGGGAGGCAGCAGUGGGGAAUAUUGCACCAUGGGCGGAAGCCUGAUGCAGCAACGCCGCGUGCGGGAUGACGGCCUUCGGGUUGUAAACCGCUUUCGCCUGUGACGAAGCGUGAGUGACGGUAAUGGGUAAAGAAGCACCGGCUAACUACGUG
rnacentral:rRNA from 1 species